CCCUUAGAUGUUCUGGGCCGCACGCGCGCUACACUGAUGCAUUCAACGAGUCUAAAACCUGCUCUGAUAGGGGUGGGUAAUCUUUUGAAUGUGCAUCGUGAUUGGGAUAGAUGAUUGCAAUUUUUCAUCUUCAACGAGGAAUGCCUAGUAAACGCAAGUCAUCAGCUUGCAUUGAUUACGUCCCUGCCCUUUGUACACACCGCCCGUCGCUCCUACCGAUUGAAUGAUCCGAUGAAUAUCAUAGGCUGAGAGUAUAAGCAGGUUCGCCUGUCUUUGCUUCUCGGGAAGUGAAGUAAAUCUUAUCAUUUAGAGGAAGGAGAAGUCGUAACA
rnacentral:rRNA from 1 species